rnacentral:lncRNA from 1 species
GGUGGGAGGCUCCGCCGCCGGACGUCGCACCGGAGUGGGAGGGCGAGGGUGCGGUGAGCGCGUCCAUGGUGGGGCCGGGCGUGAUUCUAGAAGCUUCCAGGGGUUAGGGUUUGGGUGAGAUCUGGGAUCCCGAAGCUUCCGAGCCGCACCCGCACCGGCGAGGAGGAUGAGAGUCGCGAGCUGCUCAGUGCUCACUGGCUGGUGGGCUCCACCUCGCAUGUCCCCACCUGUCUAUGGGAUCUCCUCCGCGUGACUGGGAUUAGAAUCGGGCCCCACCUGUCAGUGUCU